CCUACGGGAGGCAGCAGUGGGGAAUAUUGCACAAUGGGGGAAACCCUGAUGCAGCGACGCCGCGUGAGUGAAGAAGUAUUUCGGUAUGUAAAGCUCUGUCAGCAGGGAAGAAAAUGACGGUACCUGACCAAGAAGCCCCGGCUAACUACGUGCCAGCAGCCGCGGUAAUACGUAGGGGGCAAGCGUUAUCCGGAUUUACUGGGUGUAAAGGGAGCGUAGACGGCAGGGCAAGUCUGCAGUGAAAGGCGGGGGCUCAACCCCCGGACUGCUCUGGAAACUGGCUGUCUUGAGAUGUCGAGAGGUAUGCGGAAUGCGCAGUGUAGCGGUGAAAUGCUUAGAUAUUGCGCAGAACUCCGAUUGCGAAGGCAGCAUACCGGCGGCGAUCUGACGCUGAGGCACGAAAGCGUGGGUAUCGAACAGGAUUAGAUACCCGAGUAGUC
rnacentral:rRNA from 1 species